rnacentral:lncRNA from 1 species
GGUCGAACCUUCUGGUUCAGGUCGCAGGAAGGGAAAACCCCCUAUAUGGGGGUCAAUUUCUCAAAUUGAAGAAGAAUUAACGAGAUUGGAGCUUGAUUCUAUCAUCCUUCUCGAUUUCUAUGGAUAAUGGUGAGAUAACGUUUGGAUGUCAACGGGUCAAACGGGUGAUAAAGCAACAACACUCCUACGGGCGAAGGUGAGUGACUCGAAUGUGUUUGGAUUCGAAUUGAAUUAAAUAGUAUUCUUGUUAACUUGAAACUUUAUAGUUAAGGUGGACGGUGUAAUUGGGGUUCGAUUUAACAAUAACGUAUUGUUUUUAUUAUGUUUUUGGGGUUUAAAACCACUGAAAAAUAGUGCAAAUUGUUAAUGGGUCGAGAGACCAAAGUGCUGAAAAUUCAGCUUAUUUCCAUAUUUUUACCAAUCUUUAAAAAUUCAUAGUAAAUCAACUGAAUGUCCGUUCGGGGCGUAUUUUAUGUCCACGGAAAGGUCUCUGAGUCCCCGUCACUAAGAAUUUUAGUUUGAAGUGAAAUAUUUAUUGUAAAUGGGGGAAAACACUGAACUACUAAGAUUGAAAAAUAUGAAUUUUAUAGUACUUGCAUAAUCUUGGGGAAUUUACAAAGAAUCCAUUGGAUGUGAUUUUGUUAUUGUUGUAAACCUUAAUGUGAUUAUAUAUAUUUACAUGAGUUGAAAUGAGUGAUUCCUUGAAUAUGGGGUAUGCAUGCUAAAUUAAGAAGUCAUUGGUGUUGUGACCCGUAUGUGCAAACAUACGUGAUUAUUGAGUAGUGCUUAUAAAUGAAUGACACUUGUGUCGUUAAACAUAUGUGACCUAAUUGAGUAUGUUAUGAAUACAUACAUGAAUUUUUAAGAGUAGGUUAAGUAAAAUGACCGUUGAUAAGCGUAUAUGUUGUUUAAUGAAUUACAAUAUAGUUAUGCGACGGUUUACUAUUUUAUUUAUAUUGCCCGGAUUGCUUUAAUAAUGGUUUCCUUUGAAGUGCCCUUGACUCUAUGUUAGCAGGGAUAUACAUGAGAUAUGGAUAAAAGGCUCCCGGAUUAGAAAGGAGAAAAUUACGGAAUGCAUGACUUGAGAUAAUGAAGUGGAGGCUCGACGUUGUUUUGUUGGGCGUCAUGAGCAUUAAAAAAAACCUCCUUUAUGUUUGAUACAAAAAAAAUAUAAUAUUACGAGUCCUCACUUAGCAAAAGCUAAUUUUUUGUAUCUUCAAUGUAGGUGAUAUGUUUGAAAACAAUGAACGGAUAGACAAGUUAUGAGAAACAACGGGGUGGCUUGAACCGGUAACAUGCAAGAAGAAAAGAACUCAAAAGUCGUUCACCAAUAAUCCGAUUCGGGUGGUAGAAAGGCGAAAGUGCUCAAGUCUUGGAAGCGGGUCAACUAUGGAAAGAUUUAGUGAUGAUUUAUUCACUAAGUAUAUGGGUUCUUAUCGGGUCAACUUGACCUAGUUAUUUACAUUUUGGAGUUUAACUUCAGUGUUUGUUUUAGCUAAGCGCUAGUAUGUCAAUGUAGUAGUUGGUUAUGUUUGUUUUAUAAAACUUUCGACUUUGGUUAUUAAGCAGGUUUUGUCU